UACAUAGGGUGCAAGCGUUAAUCGGAAUUACUGGGCGUAAAGGGUGCGCAGGCGGCUUGGAAAGAACGGUGUGAAAUCCCGGGGCUCAACCCCGGAACUGCACUAUUAACUAUCAAGCUAGAGUAUGUCAGAGGGGGGUGGAAUUCCGCGUGUAGCAGUGAAAUGCGUAGAUAUGCGGAGGAACACCAAUGGCGAAGGCAGCCCCCUGGGAUAAUACUGACGCUCAGGCACGAAAGCGUGGGUAGCAAACAGGAUUAGAAACCCCCGUAGUCC
rnacentral:rRNA from 1 species